rnacentral:rRNA from 1 species
UGACCUCGGAUCGGACGUGAAUACCCGCUGAACUUAAGCAUAUCACUAAGCGGAGGAAAAGAAACUAACCAGGAUCCC